rnacentral:rRNA from 1 species
GACGAACGCUGGCGGCGUGCUUAACACAUGCAAGUCGAACGGAAAGGCCCUGCUUUUGUGGGGUGCUCGAGUGGCGAACGGGUGAGUAACACGUGAGUAACCUGCCCUUGACUUUGGGAUAACUUCAGGAAACUGGGGCUAAUACCGGAUAGGAGCUCCUGCUGCAUGGUGGGGGUUGGAAAGUUUCGGCGGUUGGUGAUGGACUCGCGGCUUAUCAGCUUGUUGGUGGGGUAGUGGCUUACCAAGGCUUUGACGGGUAGCCGGCCUGAGAGGGUGACCGGCCACAUUGGGACUGAGAUACGGCACAGACUCCUACGGGAGGCAGCAGUGGGGAAUAUUGCACAAUGGGCGGAAGCCUGAUGCAGCAACGCCGCGUGCGGGAUGACGGCCUUCGGGUUGUAAACCGCUUUCGCCUGUGACGAAGCGUGAGUGACGGUAAUGGGUAAAGAAGCACCGGCUAACUACGUG